rnacentral:other from 1 species
UGAUCCCUGGCGUAUUCGCCAGGCAGACAGUCCUCGAGCCGAUAAUGUUAUAUCCGGGGGCCUCUCGUUGCUGUUGGUGUGCAUGUCCGGCAUGACCGGAAAGCCUUAUACAGUGCAGGUGUCUCCACCUUGAACCGUCGGGUUCAAGGGCAGCGCUGUCAGCGGUACGCCGGGAAUCUC